rnacentral:rRNA from 1 species
UUUGCGCCAAUUCGUGGUAAGCUAGGGUCAAUGAGCUUAUAGGUGUUAUAAAGACUCGCUGGUGUUUGUCUCCUUGAGGCAUACGGCUUAACCAAAACUCUCAAAGUUUGACCUCAAAUCAGGUAGGAAUACCCGCUGAACUUAAGCAUAUCAAUAAGCGGAGGAAAAGAAACCAACCGGGAUUGCCUUAGUAACGGCGAGUGAAGCGGCAAAAGCUCAAAUUUGAAAUCUGGCGUCUUCGACGUCCGAGUUGUAAUUUGAAGAAGGCAACUUUGUAGCUGGUCCUUGUCUAUGUUCCUUGGAACAGGACGUCAUAGAGGGUGAGAAUCCCGUGUGGCGAGGAUCCCAGUUAUUUGUAAAGUGCUUUCGACGAGUCGAGUUGUUUGGGAAUGCAGCUCUAAGUGGGUGGUAAAUUCCAUCUAAAGCUAAAUAUUGGCGAGAGACCGAUAGCGAACAAGUACAGUGAUGGAAAGAUGAAAAGAACUUUGAAAAGAGAGUGAAAAAGUACGUGAAAUUGUUGAAAGGGAAGGGCAUUUGAUCAGACAUGGCGUUUGCUUCGGCUUUCGCUGGGCCAGCAUCAGUUUUAGCGGUUGGAUAAAUCCUCGGGAAUGUGGCUCUGCUUCGGUAGAGUGUUAUAGCCCGUGGGAAUACAGCCAGCUGGGACUGAGGAUUGCGACUUUUGUCAAGGAUGCUGGCGUAAUGGUUAAAUGCCGCCCGUCUUGAAACACGGACCAAGGAGUCUAACGUCUAUGCGAGUGUUUGGGUGUAAAACCCGUACGCGUAAUGAAAGUGAACGUAGGUGAGGGCCCGCAAGGGUG